UUUUCAUAAUUCCUUAAACCUCUCUCAACCCUUCAAUACUAAAAAGUAAUUCUAUACUUCUAUAGAAAAUUUUAUGUUAAAACUAGUAACAAGAAGUAGCCCUUCUCUUAAAUGUAUCUGUACAUCAACACGGACGCUCCAUUGAUAAUUAACGCCUGUAAAUCUAUAGUACCCCCCCCCCACGAAAGCCCUACUAUUAUUAACGUUAACCUAACACAAGAACAUUAAAAGAAAGAUUAAAAGAUAAAGAAGGAACUCGGCAAACAUUAGCCUCGCCUGUUUACCAAAAACAUCGCCUCCUGACUAAUCAUAAGAGGUCAAGCCUGCCCAGUGACAUUGUUCAACGGCCGCGGUAUCCUAACCGUGCGAAGGUAGCGUAAUCACUUGUUCUUUAAAUGAGGACUAGUAUGAACGGCUUCACGAAAGCUAUACUGUCUCCUUUAUCCAAUCAGUUAAACUAAUCUCCCCGUGAAGAAGCGGGGAUUAAUCUAUAAGACGAGAAGACCCUAUGGAGCUUUAAACAUCUUAAAACAUUUGAGUUAAAUAUUACUAUUUCCAGUAAAGCUUCACUAAACCAAUCAUUUUGUUUUAAGUUUUAGGUUGGGGUGACCACGGAGAAUAACUUAACCUCCACGUAGAAAGAGAAUUUUUUCUAAGCAAAAAGCCACAUCUUUAUGCAUCAAAAUAUUGACUCAAAUUGACCCAAUUACUUGAUCAACGAACCAAGUUACCCUAGGGAUAACAGCGCAAUCCGCUUUAAGAGCUCCUAUCGACAAGCGGGCUUACGACCUCGAUGUUGGAUCAGGGAAUCCCAGUGGUGCAGCAGCUACUA
rnacentral:rRNA from 1 species